GUGAGGAAUAUUGGACAAUGGAUGGAAAUCUGAUCCAGCCAUGCCGCGUGCAGGAAGACGGCCCUAUGGGUUGUAAACUGCUUUUAUACGGGAGCAAUAAGGUCUAUGCAUAGAUUGAUGAGAGUACCGUAUGAAUAAGCAUCGGCUAACUCCGUGCCAGCAGCCGCGGUAAUACGGAGGAUGCGAGCGUUAUCCGGAUUUAUUGGGUUUAAAGGGUGCGUAGGCGGCUUUGUAAGUCAGCGGUGAAAUUUUGCAGCUUAACUGUAAAAGCGCCGUUGAUACUGUGAAGCUAGGAUUUGGUUGCUGUGGGCGGAAUGUGUGGUGUAGCGGUGAAAUGCAUAGAGAUCACACAGAAUAUCGAUUGCGAAGGCAGCUCACAAAGCCAAUAUUGACGCUGAGGCACGAAAGUGUGGGGAUCAAACAGGAUUAGAUACCCGUGUAGUCC
rnacentral:rRNA from 1 species